rnacentral:misc_RNA from 1 species
UCGUAACAAGGUUUCCGUAGGUGAACCUGCGGAAGGAUCAUUACUGAGUGCGGGCUGCCUCCGGGCGCCCAACCUCCCACCCGUGACUACCUAACACUGUUGCUUCGGCGGGGAGCCCUCUCGGGGGCGAGCCGCCGGGGACUACUGAACUUCAUGCCUGAGAGUGAUGCAGUCUGAGUCUGAAUAUAAAAUCAGUCAAAACUUUCAACAAUGGAUCUCUUGGUUCCGGCAUCGAUGAAGAACGCAGCGAACUGCGAUAAGUAAUGUGAAUUGCAGAAUUCAGUGAAUCAUCGAGUCUUUGAACGCACAUUGCGCCCCCUGGCAUUCCGGGGGGCAUGCCUGUCCGAGCGUCAUUGCUGCCCAUCAAGCCCGGCUUGUGUGUUGGGUCGUCGUCCCCCCCGGGGGACGGGCCCGAAAGGCAGCGGCGGCACCGUGUCCGGUCCUCGAGCGUAUGGGGCUUUGUCACCCGCUCGAUUUAGGGCCGGCCGGGCGCCAGCCGACGUCCAACCAUUUUUCUUCAGGUUGACCUCGGAUCAGGUAGGGAUACCCGCUGAACUUAAGCAUAUCAAUAAGCGGAGGAAAAGAAACCAACCGGGAUUGCCCCAGUAACGGCGAGUGAAGCGGCAAGAGCUCAAAUUUGAAAUCUGGCCCCUCCGGGGUCCGAGUUGUAAUUUGCAGAGGAUGCUUC